rnacentral:rRNA from 1 species
GUGGGGAAUAUUGGGCAAUGGGGGCAACCCUGACCCAGCGACGCCGCGUGAGGGAAGACGGCCUUCGGGUUGUAAACCUCUUUUGUACGGGAAGAAGGAAGUGACGGUACUGUACGAAUAAGUCCCGGCUAACUACGUGCCAGCAGCCGCGGUAAUACGUAGGGGACGAGCGUUGUCCGGAAUUACUGGGCGUAAAGGGCGCGCAGGCUGUGCUGCAAGUCAGCUGUGAAAUGUCUGGGCUUAACCCGGGCAUGCGGUUGAGACUGCAGUGCUGGAGUGCUGUAGAGGAAAGUGGAAUUCCAAGUGUAGCGGUGAAAUGCGUAGAUAUUGGGAAGAACACCGGUGGCGAAGGCGACUUGCUGGGCAGCAACUGACGCUGAGGCGCGAAAGCCAGGGGAGCAAACGGGAUUAGAAACCCGGGUAGUCC